CAAGAACAUUCUUUGAACUACCGAUUUGCAGCCAUCAAAAAGCUAAACUCCAACCAGCUUUCUAAUUUGAAGCAGCUGAGUGGAGGAAUGUUGCAGUAACAAGCCCAUGCACAACCCCAAGUCUCUACAUCACCGGUUAUUUAACCUACACAAGACAGGCUCACUGUCCAUGAGGGGGGCAUCAGCAGCAGACGUGUCCACAUCAGUAAAAAUGGAAUCGUCACCAAGCACCG